GUGUCAGCCGCCGCGGUAAUACGUAGGGGGCGAGCGUUGUCCGGAUUUAUUGGGCGUAAAGAGCUCGUAGGCGGUUUGGCAAGUCGGGUGUGAAAACUCCGGGCUCAACUCGGAGACGCCACUCGAUACUGCCAUGACUCGAGUCCGGUAGGGGAGUGCGGAAUUCCUGGUGUAGCGGUGAAAUGCGCAGAUAUCAGGAGGAACACCGGUGGCGAAGGCGGCACUCUGGGCCGGUACUGACGCUGAGGAGCGAAAGCGUGGGGAGCGAACAGGAUUAGAUACCCGAGUAGUCC
rnacentral:rRNA from 1 species